UGGAAAUUUCUUUCAUUCUGCCUUUUUGUGGGUUCCGUUCUAGAAUUUGUUUAGAGCCAUUUUCUACUGGUAUUUGGAGGGGUCUGAGGGAGAGCUCAAGCAAGUCAUUGCAUUUACUCCGCCAUCUUGGCUCUGCCACAUCAGCAAGUCCCCAAAAACUUUUAAGAAUGCUAAUAACAAUGUUAUUUUUAUGCACACUGGGUACAACUGAGGUCAUUAAUAUAAUUUAAAAUAUUUGUUUUUCCUUGCCAUAUACUUUAAUGGAGUCUUAUGUUCUUCUUGUCUAAAUACCAUUUCCCUUGAAAGAAGUCAUCAGCAGCAAUUUUCCUUUCUGAAAGCUUCAGGGACUUCUGCUCCAAAAGCUUUUCUUCACUUUGGUAUGAGGCACACACAGCUGCUGCUUCUUCUUCUUUUGGCUAGGAAAUGUGGUUAAGUGACUUGCCUAAGUGUCAAGUGUCUGAGACUGGAUUUGAACUCAGGUCCUCCUAAUUCCAGGGCCUGUACUCUAUCCACUGUGCCACCUGGCCAUCCCACACACAGCCUCUUGAUGAAGUUGAUGCUGCUGCUCCACCUGCAGAGUUAGCAACUGGAUCUCUUGCUGAAGGACAUCAGUUUUCUGCAGGAGCCAGAGAACCUCCACAAUGAAAAAACUAGAAUAUGAGGCAAAAACAAGAUUUUUAUGGAAGGCCUCUGCAACACAUAUUCAGUCCUAAAUAAACCAAUAUUUGUAUGAAUUGGAGGUGAAGAAAGAGAGGAAGAACAGUUUUUGCAACACUGAUUUCCAGACAUGACAGGAAGAAUCUUCUGGAUGAUACGGCUGGUUCUGCAUGGAGACAAUAUGUAUGUCAAUGAGAAGGAGGCCACAAGGUCCAUGUAGAGUCCACAGCAAUGUCCUCAGAAAGGUUCCACUACAAUCUCUUUCUCACUAUUUAGCAAGUUUUCCUUGGAGCUGCCCCAGUGGAACUGUGCUACCUGGCCUGCUUGGAGCCAAGAAGUAUUCUCCCUCGGAGUUGGCCAGUGCCCUGGAACGCCCCCAACCCUCAUUGCCACACACCACUUUGUCCUACCCUCUCCAAAUCAUCUCCUCUCCAACCUUCAAUCAAAGUCUUGCUCAAGCCCAUAGGUUCUAACACAUCCCUGCUAUACUCUAGAACAAUGCUAUAUUAUCCUAAUGACUAUUAAUGUAAUACUGUUCUUAGCCUAAGGAAUUUGCAAGAUGAAUCCAGCAGAGAUGAUUCUAGCACUAUAUAGUGAAUGAAGGGUAAGAGUGGGUGAUUCAUUGAGACAUUUGGGGUCUUCUGGUGCCUGUCCCUCAACUACUGAUGACUUAAUGAUACCAUUCUACUCUUUCAUCUUUUGCUGUGCACAAAAUUCCUUUAAAGGUAUUAACAUCUUGUCUGUCUUGAUCCUCAUCAUAGUACUGUGAGGUAGAGAGGGAAGAUAUUAGUACUUCCUCUUUUUCGGCUGAGAAAACUGAGUCUCAUAAGUUGUAACACUUGCUCAGAUGUAUAUGCCACACAGGGACCUUCCUACUCUGACUCUGCUUAUGUCCGCCCCUCUAUAUAGUGAUGUAAUUUUUGAGGACACUGUUUUUCAUUUUUCUAUGUUCCAAUUUUGUCAAUUUUUGUGCUCCAAGGGAAAACUUUCCUUAGAGUUUCACAGAUUUGCUUCUGGGGAAAAAAAUUCUAAACAAAUAUCGAAUAUCAUGUCCACUAAAAUAUGUUGAAUAAAUCAGAAAAGUCUCAAUAUCA
rnacentral:lncRNA from 1 species